AGCUGGGAAACUACAUUGUUUUGUCCAGGGAGGCGGGGCGAGGCCACAAGCACAAGUGGAGGACGGGAGUGUGCAUAUUGGAAUGGACUCACAGUCCCUAGUCAUUGCAGGGUUCCACCAGGACACUAGGUGUCUCUCUGCCUGUGUCUCUCUCCUGCUCUGUUUGCCUUUCAGGUGCUGCUCUCUGCUAAUUGGGUAUCUGCUGCUGGUGGAGACUGGCCUUUAAAAGCACACCAGUGCUUUCCCUGUUGCUCUAUCUAGUAUCUCCCUGCCUGUGAGCGCUAACCAAGAGGUCCACGCUGUAGGUGUCUCAAUGUCCAACAGCUCAUCUCCCUCCCUUGACGUGUGGCCUGUCAUGGGCUCAAUGAAGGCAUUUACCUCAGUGCAGAGUGGCGCUGGAUCCCUCAAGUGCUUGCAUGGCGGUUGAAGGGCUACCCUGAAGCAUUUGGACAAAGCUGAGCUUGUCUCUAAUCUUCUGGACCAAUCACCAUGUAGCUAGUGGGACCGCUGAGGAACCCACAUCUAUUUGAUGAGGAGGCCUAUCCAAGAGCAGAAUGGCUUCUUGGGUCAGUCGGCGGUUUUGCAUCAUGGUGUGCACUUGAGGUGGUCAACUGACGUUUCAGGCCAUGGACCCUUUGCAUAUUAUGGUGUGACCGUUCAACUGGAGUUUCAGGCCAUGGACCCUGUGCAUUUUCUGAAUUCAUGGAUGCGGCGGCUGUAACAUCAACUGUGAACACAGCUGAGAAGAUUUUGACUCCAGCUUGACUACAGCUCUGGCUCUAUUCCUCUAGAAAAGACCUGGGAUCCUUUCUGGAGGCGCACACAUUAUCCCUGAUUGGAAACCCCAGUGGCUUUGGUGUGACUGUUCAACUGAAGUUUCAGGCCAUGGAUCCUGUGCAUAUUCUGACUUCAUGGAUGCUGGGGCUGUGCACAGCUGAGAAGGUUUUGACUCCAGCUUGACUACAGCUCUGGCCCUAUUCCUCUAGAAAUGGGGCUACGCUUAUGUUUCCAAACCUGGAGAAAUUUUCACAUCAGCGUCUACUUGUGUUGCGUGAUUCACUGAAUUAUUAUUAUAUUUUUUUAAAUCCAGUUGUGCUGUUUACAGUGUAGAUGUGGUUUUCUACUAAACUUUGAGCUGUGUUCUCAAACUUUAUAUAUGCAAAACAUUUGAUUCAGUCUGUAAUGGCUAUGGGUCAAUUAGUUGGUAGAGUAUGCACUUAGUACUCACGUUGACUGUUUCAGUCAACUGUCUGAAGAAAAGUGUGGUUUCUAUUCUUACCCAGUAGGUGGCAUAGAUGAACUCACAUGUGGCUGAAAAGUAUACUGGUAUGACGAUAGUUUUUGAGAAUGAUGAAAGCUGUCUGUUAGUCCUGUUGACAUUCCGUCCUGUGGAUCUUAAAUGUAUACGUUUUGGACUGUUUGUGUAAUUUGGGCGUAUGUAAUAUCAGAAUCUGCCACAGUCCCAAAUUUGAGGCAUUAAUUAAGGGUUUGUAGUAUGUGGUCCCUGAAUUAAUGCCAUGUUCUAAAAUGCAAUUACCCACAUUUUCAAGAUGUCGAUGCUGUGUACUUUGAUGGAAGUACACACUUCAAUUAGAUUUUUAUUUCUUUAUGAAGGAUCUAUAUAACCACCCAAUGAUCAUGACUAUGAAUCACUUUCUUACCAGAGGAUGUAAAUAAAAGUGCCUAGAAAGGCUACACAC